rnacentral:rRNA from 1 species
UACAGAGGUCUCAAGCGUUGUUCGGAUUCAUUGGGCGUAAAGGGUGCGUAGGUGGCGCCGUAAGUCAGGUGUGAAAUUUCGGAGCUUAACUCCGAAACUGCAUUUGAUACUGCGGUGCUUGAGCACUGUAGAGGCAGGUGGAAUUCCGGGUGUAGCGGUGGAAUGCGUAGAGAUCCGGAAGAACACCGGUGGCGAAGGCGGUCUGCUGGGCAGUAGCUGACACUGAGGCGCGACAGCGUGGGGAGCAAACGGGG